CCUACGGGGGGCAGCAGUGGGGAAUAUUGGGCAAUGGGCGCAAGCCUGACCCAGCAACGCCGCGUGAAGGAAGAAGGCUUUCGGGUUGUAAACUUCUGUUGUCAGGGAGGAGAAGAAGACGGUACCUGACGAAUAAGCCACGGCUAACUACGUGCCAGCAGCCGCGGUAAUACGGAGGUGGCAAGCGUUGUCCGGAUUUACUGGGUGUAAAGGGCGUGUAGCCGGGUUGACAAGUCAGAUGUGAAAUCCUGCGGCUUAACCGCAGAACUGCAUUUGAAACUGUUGAUCUUGAGUACUGGAGAGGCAGGUGGAAUUCCUAGUGUAGCGGUGAAAUGCGUAGAUAUUAGGAGGAACACCAGUGGCGAAGGCGGUCUGCUGGACAGCAACUGACGGUGAGGCGCGAAAGCGUGGGGAGCAAACAGGAUUAGAUACCCCAGUAGUC
rnacentral:rRNA from 1 species